UUUUGGCCUCGUGACUCGGAUCAAGAUUUUGGAGGUGCUCUCUGCCUGCGGGAAGGCGCGCCCCACCAUUUUGGAGGGCCCGGUUGACCCCUUAAAUUUUGUGCACAAAGUCCGGACGAAGACGCAGGACGUGUAUGAGACUUUUUCCACAUGGGAGAUAGACUGUGGGAUCUAACAUACUAUUCCUUCCUGGCAGAGCUCCGAGCAACAGGAGCACCAAUUGGGGGGGGGGAAGAUCUGCUGAAUGCAGCAGUGAAAAUAAGAUGUAAUGCUGAAAAUUGCUGGGGAAAUCGUAACCCUUUUGUAUGCUUUAUUUGUUUAGUUUGUAAGGAGGAGUGGUGGACCCAUUGCAGCAACAGUUACCCUCCAAGGGGAGUGUGUAAAAAUUGUUAUUCGGACCAAAGGCUACUCACCUCUCAGGUCCUGGCUACCAAAGUGGCUGCCAGAGAACUUUUAAGAGGGUCUGAAGAGUGGUGGAAAAUUUUUGCAAGAGGGAUAAACCCCCAAUUUUAUUGUUAUCACUCUAACGAACCUGCCCCAGUUGUGGCCAGGAUAGUAGCCGCCCUGUGCAGACGGUGGGUACCUGAACUUAGUUGCUAUACCCCUCCGAUUAAGAACCGCAAGUGGUAUAAAUACAUAAAACAUAUCAAAAAGCAUGGGUCAAACACCCCUCCUGAAGAAUACUCCUGCUGCCGAGAAGAUGAAACUCCCCAUAGCUCGAUGCAAACGAGUUGAUGGGCAAGGCAGAGGAGAUGAGAGCAGUGGAGGAGGGCGCCCGAGCAAAAGGGGAAAACGAGGAACAGGUACCCAGAGCCGUCGAGAGUCCAGGGAAAGGGAAAAGUCUGAGGUAAAUUGGGAGGAAAAUAAAAAGAGCAGUUGUGAAAAAUGGGGAAGCUACCACCUCCAAUUAGGAAUCCUAUAUAUAAUGCUUUUGAAAUCUGCGCUUGCAAGCCAUGAACCUUUUAAAUGGUCAUUAAUAAGGUGGGAGGACCAGAAAGUACUUAGUACAGUGGUGACUUCAGGAACCCCCUCGUUUAACUGCUGCCUUUGUGACUUAACCCAAACGCACCCAUGCUUGAACAAGGGGGGAUUUUAUUUUUGUCUGGCAUCCAAUCCAGGAAAACCUUAUUGUAAUUAUCCUGGAGAAUUUU